ACUCCUACGGGAGGCAGCAGUGAGGAAUAUUGGUCAAUGGGCGAGAGCCUGAACCAGCCAAGUCGCGUGAAGGAAGAAGGAUCUAUGGUUUGUAAACUGCUUUUGAAGGGGAAUAAAGGGGUCUACGUGUAGAUCUUUGCAUGUACCUUUCGAAUAAGGAUCGGCUAACUCCGUGCCAGCAGCCGCGGUAAU
rnacentral:rRNA from 1 species